rnacentral:rRNA from 1 species
UGGGGAAUAUUGCACAAUGGGCGCAAGCCUGAUGCAGCCAUGCCGCGUGUGUGAAGAAGGCCUUCGGGUUGUAAAGCACUUUCAGCGAGGAGGAAGGCAUAAAGGUUAAUAACCUUUGUGAUUGACGUUACUCGCAGAAGAAGCACCGGCUAACUCCGUGCCAGCAGCCGCGGUAAUACGGAGGGUGCAAGCGGUAAUCGGAAUUACUGGGCGUAAAGCGCACGCAGGCGGUUUGUUAAGUCAGAUGUGAAAUCCCCGCGCUUAACGUGGGAACUGCAUUUGAAACUGGCAAGCUAGAGUCUUGUAGAGGGGGGUAGAAUUCCAGGUGUAGCGGUGAAAUGCGUAGAGAUCUGGAGGAAUACCGGUGGCGAAGGCGGCCCCCUGGACAAAGACUGACGCUCAGGUGCGAAAGCGUGGGGAGCAAACA